GGACACUUCGGCAGUACAUAUACUAAAAUUGGAACGAUAGAGAAGAUUAGCAUGGCCCCUGCGCA
rnacentral:snRNA from 1 species